rnacentral:rRNA from 1 species
ACAGAGGGUGCGAGCGUUAAUCGGAUUUACUGGGCGUAAAGCGUGUGUAGGUGGCUACCUAAGUCGAUUGUGAAAUCCCUGGGCUUAACCUGGGAAUUGCAGUCGAUACUGGGCAGCUAGAGUUCGGUAGAGGGUGACGGAAUUCCCGGUGUAGCAGUGAAAUGCGUAGAUAUCGGGAGGAACAUCGAUGGCGAAGGCAAUCACCUGGGCCUGGACUGACACUGUGACACGAAAGCGUGGGUAGCAAACAGGA